AACCUGUGGAGUAAGGAUUUUGGCUAUGACCUAUAGGAGGCUACAGGAUAUGUGGAAUCCCCCAUCUUGCUGGAGAAGGAAAUACUCCCUCAUUUACAAUAAAUGGCAAAUAGGUUUGUUAGGUCAAAAAAUAAUUUGCUUUUCCUUCAUGAUGGUAACUGAUCGAGGAAGAUGCUGGAAGAUCUGCUUGGUUGCUGUGUAUCUUUCUUUCCUGCUACUGCAUUUAUAGUACUCACAGAAUAAUUUACUGCAAGUUUCAAUACCAAUCAUUUACCUAACCCUGUCAACAUUAACUGAGAAUAGAGAGAAAAUACGAUUUUGUUUUGCUCUUUCCGUGACCUGGCUGCUAGAGGACAUAAAAAUAUAUACUCUGAUUAUUAUGGUUUUUUUAUUAGUUUGUUUAUUUAUUCCUUUAUUUAUUUGAUAUCCCUAUAAACAAAGGACAUGUUUGCAUGACAGUAUUCUGGACAGUAUUCUGGACACCUGAAACAUGCUUAUCUUCAAUUAUUUUUUAAAUCAGAAAAUUGUUCUGUGUAACAAAAUGACUAAAGCUGACAGUUUGAUGGUGAAGAAAAAGCAAUUGGCUUAAAGAAGUUCUUUUGUAUGCCUAUGGAAAACCCAAGAGAAUGGCUGAUUUAUACCUCAGUCAAAUCACAUGCUGAUAAUUUAGGUAUCUCUGUCUUCUAGAAGUGUUAGGUUCGUGCUUCAACAUGCAAAGUGACAGCUAGAUUUUAACUUUAUUUAAUUUCCUGAAUGGAGACCUAAUUACUUGCCAAAACAAUAUUGAUGUUAGAUUAUGGACUAAUACUACCUUCUCUGAGGUACAGAUUUUUAGCAAAUAGGCAGGAGGUCUAAGAUCUCCUAUGAUAUCUUUUAAAAUGUUGCAUUCCCUUUUUCUCCCUUGCUGGCAUUUAUGCUCCCUCUCUUGACAGUGAGCUGGAAGUGACACUUACCAAAAUAACGUGACAAAGAUGUUUUCAAAACUGUCAUUUCCUCAUGAAAUCCCUUAUUUCUUCAGAUUUGAAGCUUUUCAUGCACAUUUUUAUUUACUGCUUUUGCAAUUAGAGCAUAAUAUUUCUGAGAGGUAACAGUGCAAGAAAAAUCUGGAGAUUAUCGGUUGCAAAUGUAGUUCUUGGUUUUACAAACACACAUUUUUUGAAAUCAAAAAGCAGUAUUAAAAUCUUACCCAAAUGCUGAUUUUGCAUUUAAACAGUCAAAUAAUAUACUUACAAUAUAAACUUCAUUUCCUACAUAUUAAUGAAUUGCAUUUUAAUGCAAUAGCAACAGGUUAGGUUAUAAUUUUCCAGGAGUUAAUACUUUGCUUCAUAAAAUUGGGCUUCAAGAAAACAUGUUUUUUUAUUGAAACUAUUUUUAUUGUAUGGACAGUUUUGCUUUCUCUAGAAGGCCUAGGAGAGAAUUUUGGAUGAUUAAAGUAGAGCUUCAAUUAAAAGUACAGAUAUGUUGAACAUGACUUAAAUGUUUUGGGUUUAAUUGGAUUUUUAAAAUUAUUUCAGGUUAAUUAUAUGUAACAGAGCUUGAUAGUAGCAAGAUUUAUGUAACCAUUCUGAUGAGAUAGUUCUCCUCAAGAAUACUAUUAAUGCUAUUCCCUGCUUCAGUGACAAUAUCUAUGGCUAUAAGAAUGUGUGUUUUAGAAUGUCUUCCAGCUUGAAGGAUGUGAUUCUAUGUGGAGCCUCUCUCUGUGUUAGCUCCCUUCAUGCAGGAUGGGAUGAAUCAGAAGAAGGAGAAUCUUUGGAUUCCAGACCUUGAGCUGCCAGCCAUAGGUUCCUGAAGCACCUUUACCAUCUGAAGUUUUGUCAUGUUGACUUAUUCUCUUAGAUUUAUCUGAAGACUGGUUGGUUAGUGUUAGUGAAAUAUUUGCGAAGUUCUAUUCUAGUUUCUAGGACAAGAGCAUUAUUUUGGUGACUUCUUUAAAAAUAUGCUUCCAUAUUUGAGUUUAUUUGCCUACACACACAAACACCAUGUAUAUUAUUGACAUUGCAUCCUAUAUAGAGUGAUCUAUAUUUUUAACAUCAAAACAGGGAUGGCAAAAAUACAAAAAUAUGUAUUUUUACGUAGUAUUGGCAGUUUUAAUUUAUGGAUGACACCUCCAAAUUGAAUAGAAAAAGGGACAUUUUCAGAAAAUAGUGAUGUCACAGUAAUAUAAUCUGCACAUUGGAUGUAAUAUUGUAUAUACUGCAUUGUAAAUAUUCCCUUCCAGGAGGAAUGGGAUAUCUAUAGGCACUUACCUAAAACUGUUAUUAAUUGUUAAUUUCUAGAGUAACUGAAUAUUGUUGCAAAGACAUUUUUUUAAGUCUCCAGGAUUGAACGAGUCAGCUGAAAAUAACUGUGUGACAUGCCUGAAACAGAUUCAGACAUCUCUGCUGAGCACAAGGAAAGACCUGAAUACCAGGAUUACAGAUCCCACAAAUCCCCUGCUCAGUUUUACAGAAGGAUCAGGCAGUUUAUGUAUGCAGUUAAUCUAUUUUCACUUCAGUGAAGCGAUUUGCAGCUGCAGCCCACUUCAUAGGCAGAUCAGAAACUACACUGCACUAUCUGUUUGGCCUGUACCAUUUUUCUUGGAAGGCUAAUUGUUUAGCUUAUGGCAUGUUUUAUUUGCUCAGGGUAUGCUUAGAAAUAACCAGAGCUCAGACAACGUAAACCUUACUCCUCGGUGGAAACUCAGCCGUGUCUGGGGCAAUUGGAAGAGCAGUUAGAGGAGCCCAGGCAUUACAAGUUUAGCCUGGGUGGUCUGUCCACACAUCUUUUGGGGACACUUUCACAGAUCCUGUUCAGAUGUUUUUUACAGCCAGUGCUUGAAAACCCUUCAGCUUACUCUGGCUGGAGAUGCAGAGGGGGACUCUCAGCAGGACAGGCAGGUGAAGCAGGUUUUCCAACUUGUCAUUAUCCAAAGUUAAGAGGAUAACAGCCUCCAAAACCACAGUGCCUCUUUAUUUUUUAAACAUCACUCUCAAGCCGUCUUAUUUCACAAAGAGCAGUUUCCUUUACUGCUGUCUAGUAUGUGCACAUAUCAAGGGCCAAGUCUGUCUCUACAUUUCAGGGAAAACAAACUCAGAGCCUGGCUGCUGGUAUGUAGCAUCUACAGUAGCUGAGUGGUCAUUUGGGAAACAUGUUCCAUAAGGUUUCAUAAAAUUGCAGAUGCUCUGAUGUUUUGCUGAGCUAGGACAAAGUUUGUUGGUGAAAUCAAUAAACUCUCAAGUUUUCAAGUCAUCAAAUGACUUGAAAAUGAGAAGGUUCUUCUUUUCUGAUGAAGAAAAUGUUCAAAUAUUUCAAA